GCACACACACGCACACGCGCGCGCACACACACGCACACGCACACACGGCUUUGAACUUGAGAAUGGCAAGCAGCGAAAAUAUACCGGCUACAGACGGCGAGUCUGUUCAAAAAGAGCAAGACAGUUAUGAUAAAAAGUGUAUUUUCUGUAAGAUUGUUAACGGGGAGAUGGACACCGAGCUUCUACACAGCGAUGAAGACACGUCAUGUUUCAGAGAUAUAAAACCGGGGGCUCCUCAUCACUAUCUUGUUGUGCCAACAAAGCACGUAGGGAAUUGUAAAUCACUUCGCAAAGAACAUGUUCCACUAGUGGAGAAAUUGCUGGAAACAGGAAAAGCAGUUCUUCAGAAGAACAACGUAACUGAUUUAAAUGAUGUCAGGUUUGGUUUUCACUGGCCUCCAUUUCAUUCUGUUACACAUCUGCACCUCCACGUGUUGGCACCUGCCAGUCAAAUGGGCUUCAUCUCUCGCUUCAUCUACCGCCUAGACUCCUACUGGUUCGUCACGGUGAGAAUUCUGAAUAGAUGAUUUGGGGCUUGUUUUUGGAGGCUCCAUUGUAAAGUCUGGGACCAAUGUUACAGACUGCUGAUCAGUUGAUCCAAAGACUGAACUCGAUGGACUAAUAGAAGAAUGGAAAUGUCAUGUUGCCUUUACACUGAGAAUAUAAAUGGAUCGUCUCAGUGCUUAGGGAAAAGAGGUGAAGUGAAAGUACCUCCAGGUUAUGAUUUAUUUUAGUCAUUAUUAUUUGCAUGUUAGCUUGUCUGUUUCUGACAGACAAACUGGGCAAAUUUGGAGAUAAGCCUUUAAAAUAAUUUAUUUUGACUGUUAAGUGGACAGGUUUAUUUAACUGGUGAAUGCUUGAGAAUAAUCUGAUAUUUACAUCACAGUCCCUGACAAAGGUAUUUUUAAGUAAUGUGUAUGUCUGCCUGAAUAACUAGAUACAAUUUCUGAUACUGAGAUUUUAAAAAACAACAACAAAAAAAACCCACAUCUAUGUGCAAAAUAAUAUUUGUAUAGCAUGCCAUACCCUUGGAUUUAGUAGCAUGUGAUUAAGGCAUAAUGCAUUCCAAUAAAGUCAACUUUGGCUAAUUACAA